GGAAAUGUGCCACAAGCUAUCACCGUACAAAUUACGAAUCCCAACAGUUCAAGAGGACACAAGUUUCGAGAGAUAGCGAGAGAGGAUUCGAUAACUAUACAAUAUGUACACAAUUCCUGCAAUUAUUUACAUAGUUUUUACAGUAGAAUAUGAAGCAUGAACCUGCUUCUGUAUGCGCAGCCAUAUUUACAUCAAAGAAUUAAAAGCACGCGCAACAAAACGCUCUCUCUCUCUCUCUGUCGUCUCUUAUAUUUUCUCGCUGAGGUAUCUGCCAUCACACAUUAAUCUCCUCAAUCGUGGACAGUGCCGAGGGAGGGCAGCUGCAGGGGAAAACUCCUUCACGGUCAAGAAAUGAUUAGAAGCCAAAAAAACCCACCACUUUCAGCAUAUAUUAGUACUAGCUAGGAUAAGAAGAACAUCAGCAAUCUUCUUCUACUGGCAAGCAAUAGACCCGACCAGCUACACUCUUUUUUUCUUCUUUUUUUUCUUUUUGCCUUUUUUUUUCUUUUUCUUUCAAGUCCUCCCAUAUCUAUGUACAAUAUUUUCUACGUUAAACAGCAGGAUGGGUUCUGCCAGAAGAUCCAGCAGUUACAGAAGUAUAGCACAAUGAACAGUAAAGUGAAAUCAUUAGCAGCACUAAAUGUCAGAUGUUCUGGACGGAAGAAAGCCACUGUUCCAUGUAUUUCUUGCUCUCUGCACAUUGAAGGUAAAUAAAGUUAAGAACUCAGCACAGAGAAACAAUCACAUUUUAAGACAGGUUGAAAGAAAAAAUACAUUUUGCUUCCACCAACCACUUAGAUGCAUACAUUUGCAAUCAAUAUGACAUCACAAAAGGGAUUAAACAGCAAAAAGCCAAUAAGCAUAGAUAAACAAGAAAUGGGAGUGGAGUUUAGUACUCGUUUCUUUUUCUUAAAUUUCAUCAGCUGCGCUCAAAUUGUGAUCAUUCACUAUUUCAGAUGAUGCAAAUUGCAAAACAUAUCUUAAAGGUAAUUGCAAAACAUAUCUCAAAGAUAGAUAAAUGUAAAUCUUGGGAUGAGUGCCGAGAUAUGGCAAAACUAUAUGAAGGGCGGGAAGGGCAAAGCAAGGGUAGUUCAGUAGGUAGGGUUCAGAGUCUUCAGGCAUGGAAAUUAAACUAUGCUGAGAAGUUAACAGGUCUCAAGAUUGACAUGAGGCAAGUGAAAGCAAUUACAAAAAUACAGUUUCCCACAAAGAAUCCAAUCAACAAGCAUCCUGCUUCUAAAAGCUGACCAGGAACAACAAUUCAUAACAUAAAAUCCAUCAAGUAGAUAUCCAGAUACAUAAUCACAAAUAUAUAUAUAUAUAUAUAUAAGCAAGGCGGAACAAUUUUCCUCUUCUGAACCUUGUUGGAAAGAGGAAAAGGGAAAUAGAAGGCAACUCCUAAACACCUAAUAACGCAGGAGAUAUUUUUGUGCAUUGAUUAUGUAUGGAAUUCAAACAACCAUCCUUUUAUGCAGUGACAAGCAACUGCUCAUUGACUACCAAAGUAACCAACCAGUAAGGGACAAAAUGAAACAUUAGCGUGAAAUAAUUCAGAUUGCUGUCAAGGCUCUCAAACCUCGAAAAUAUGUAUGUUUCUCCUUUUUAAACCUCUUAAUGUCUAAUAAAUUAUGGCUAGAUUAUUGCCCAUGCCAAAAAGAAUAUUGUAAAUAACUAUAGCAAAUUGCAUUCCAAUGUAGAAGUAAAGGCUCUCUUAGGCAAUCACAUUCUUUGUGUAACUUAGUUAAGAAUGCCUACAGAAGAAGUUGAAUGACUUUCCUUGCCACAUCACAGUAAUCAUUUUUUGUUUUUUAUGAUUUCAUAAUAGCCUGUUCAUUUAUCAUUGAAAGGAGAGCUGACAAGUCAGGUAGCAGAAACAGUUCUAAAGACUUUACCAUCCUUUACACCAUGGUUAUUGCAAUACUAAUUGCGUGAUAAUCUACCUAGUGAACUAUUAAUCAACACAGCAUAAGGAUACCGACACCAACAGUGGAAGAGGAAAAUAGAAGAUUUUGUAGAAGCAACCGAAAUAUAAAAAGAACUUU
rnacentral:lncRNA from 1 species